CGGUAACCGAACGCACGGGUGAUGUUGCUUGCAACCGAAAUAACGAACCCCCUGGCAACCGACCGACAGGACGCAGCGCGGUCGUUCUGCGUCAGCGAAUAUCUCGAUAAAGAGUUGGACCACCUGCCACGUGACGUGACGCGCUGAGAGGACAGAAGGAAGACGCCGCCAUUUUGGACCGGGCGAGAGUCGCGGAUUUGGCGCUCGCCAAGAGACAGGGGGGGGGGGGGGGAUGGAGAAAGGGCGAAACAAUUUAAACAAAAAAACAUUUAACAAAAACACAUUUAACAAAAAAAACGAAUAAUUAAAUGGAAUAAUAUGGCGGACUCAAAACUAAAAAAAACCCACAAAGUUUGAACAAUUUCUUACUUCAAAUAGAAAACAAAACCAUAUAACCGACCGUGUCGCGAGCAACACCACCACCAAACAAACAACCACCGGACAAAAACAACAACAACAACAACAACAAAGAUGAUAGCGAUCGUGACUUCGACGUUCGUGCCUUUGUGUACAUAGCCUGGCUCUGCGAGUAACAACACCUGUGCGAGGAGUGUAGAUUCGAAUUGUGAUCAUGACGGCAGACAGCGAGAUGCGUACAUAAUACAAGCGCACUUUGUGUGUGCGAGAUUGUGUGUGUGUGUUUACACACACAUAUAUACUACGUCUAUUUAAUUUGCGAUAAAUGUGAUGGCGUAAAUAUAUAUUUGAAUAAUAAUGUCGACAAGAUAGCGAAAUUUUGAGGUAUGUUUUUUUUGGCGCAGCGAAUAUAAACACCAUAAGUCGAGCGCGCAUGCUAUAGCCGUGUAAUAAUAAUAACAAUAACUACAGAGCCCCUUACGCGAAAACAAUAAGUCGAGAUAUAAUUAUAAAAUAUUGACGUAGUUUUUAUUUUCGUAUAUAUAAAUAAAAUAGAGUAUAUUUAAUAGCUGAACUGAAAAAAAUCGUACGAUCACACGUUGCUUCCCACGGCCAAAUAUGAUUGUUGUCCAUGCGGGUAUUUGUAGCCGUUACGUCUGGUUUCACGAUACUGGAAAUGUAUACUUAUAGAUUGUUAUAAUUAUAAUGAUAUUACAAUUACAGGGAUUAUGUUUGUAUAUAUAUUUCGUUUGAAAUAAAAGGUAGUUUUCAAAUGGAUGUUAAAAGAUCAGACUAUUGAGUCUCAGCUUUCCGCUUUUGUCAAAGACUAAUAAUGUCUGCAAUUAUUCGGACGUGUAGUAGUAUCGUUCUGCACUCUUUAAAUUGUCGCGCUUAAAACAAUUAAAUACGGUCGCGUAUUCUGGACAUGCGCGUGGUUUCACAACAGUAUAAAUGUUAUAUAUAUAUACAUAUAUCAAUUACUGGAUUAAAUAUUGACUUUCGUGACUGCAGGAAUUCAUAGUCUUUGGGGUUUUUCGGUAAAGUCAAGUAGAUAGAACAAUAAAAUAAUACUAGAUUAAGUGUGUACGAAUAUCCACAUAUAGGCGUAUUAUCGCGAAAUACGUUAUACAAUUACUUUAAUUCGUUGAUUGUAUUUAUUGAUAUACACUGUUUAUAUAAAUGCAUGGUAUUUAUACAACAGCAAUUGUUAUAUAUAUUUAAUUGUGGUUGGUGCGCCGCUGUUUGUAAAUGAUUAUAUUUAACCGUGGGAGUUUGUUGUUGUAUUAUAUGCGAACGGUUAGAACAUUCAAAACAUUUUUGGGGACAAAAAAAAUAUUCCGUCCGAUUUUUUUUUGGGUCGGCGAAAUCGUUACCGCCAGGCAACUUGGCAACGAAUCGUCCGUUUUGAGUGAUGCCCCCACCUCCCCAUCUCGAGCCAUCGGGAAUCUGUGCUCAAAUUUUUUUCGAUAAAACAUUUUUGAGAUAAUUGUCGAGUGCGAGACAAAUAACUCAUCCGACCCAUAUUUGGGCUCUCCACGUUCAACCCCAUCGGGCCAGCGACACGGCCUCGCUUCGGUAAGGCGGCGUCCCGUCAGCUUGUAUCAGCAAGUAUUGGUUCAACACAAGCAAAUUGUAAAACAAAAGUAAAACUUGCACCGGCUUCUGACUAUCAGUGUCACAUCAGCAGUCGGGCUUCGCUCGAACCAAUCGGGCGAUGCUGCUGAUGCAUUUGCCCGAUGUCUAUUUCACCAAACCAAGGCGCCGUGCGGAUAGGAUUGAGACAUACAUCACGAAUAUGAACAAGCGACUUAUUUUCUCACUACGCGUCUCGUGCCGUUGUCUACUACGCGAAGGGAUACACGAACAUAGACGCGGUGGAGGGGGGGGGGAAGUGAUGGGGUUGUUCUUGCGUUGCCUUUGUGCGCCCACCGAGCGUGAAACGUCCGCGCACCGUCGACGGAGACUGCCUAAUGACGGCACUACUUUGUUGCGCGCUCGCAACGUCGUCUUGUUUGCACGUGAUACUAAUAAUGCCAAUACACUGAACACACAAAAUAAUGAUGAAUGUAAUUUUCAAACUAAGAGCGUCUUAAUUGGGGUUAGUGUGUUUAAUCAGCACAGUACUAUGACCGCUCAAGUUCAGCGAUCGUUUGGUCAUUGUUACCUGUGGUGUGAUGCACAGAGCACGCACGACGUUUUUGUAAUGUUGUUGGUUAAUAAUAGCAGCAGUGAAGAAUAAUAAAAUAAUCACAGUACAUUAGCCUAUGCGAUUAAAAGAACUACCGCCCAAAUUUGGAAUUCACUUCAAAUAAUCUAUUUUCCCAAGUUCGUAGCUACCUAUAGACAAAGCCUUGCUCAAUUCAAGUAAGCGUAUCUGUUUUGUAUAACAACCUUAAAUCGUGCCGGUUGUCGCGAGCCGUGACACGUGUACAUAGCGUAAUACAUAUAAUAUGUAUAUAGAUGUUUACGGAGUCGAGAUGGCACCACGUCUCAAGACGCUGUGAAGAAACCGCGGCUGAUGUGUCUUGUAGAGUCCAGGAGACGGCAACCUGGGGCUCCGCAUGCGGCACUUUGAGGACUGAUCCGUGACAUUAUUGACAUUGCAUUGCGGCUCUUUAAAUAUUGCGGGUUUUUUUUUUACUCGAAUUCGAUCAAAAAAUGGUUUCUUGGUAUUUUGGUUUGCCUACCCCAGGGUUCGACAGAGGCAGGAUCAGUCACAAGCAGUCGAGACAAGAGCAUGUUUUCAAUCUGGACUGCGGAAACAAAUAAGACCCCUACGUGUAACAAUGAUAAUUGUAAACAUUGUCAUAUAUUUGUAAUUCAUAUAUAGGAUACAAAUCUGAACAAUCGGCAAAUACGGUGACGUACAUACCGUUUUUGUGACAAACUAAUCCCACUAUCGGCUCCAUAUCACAGCGAUUCACAAUUAUAUAUAAGCGAAAACCGCGCGGUACUGAUCUUUAAAGACGCGUGUGGGUGAUUCAAACAAUGUCAGAUCGACUAAAAGAGAUUGCAAGUGGAGCGGUGGCGCAGUGUUUAAGCGCAGGACAAUUGCAAAACACAGCAGAAACACCUCCGUUGAGAUCACGAGACCUAUCACGGCGACAAACGUCAGUGCCGUCUCGUCUCCGUAUACACGAAACCCUCACUGCAUAGUUCCUGUGGAAUAAACUCGUGACCCUGCCCAACAGUGGACUUACCAAGGGCUGUGCACGUUGGCGUUACACAAAUGAAUUAUCUUAUAAUUAUAUAUUUUUACGAGCGUAAUCAUUAUUAUUAUUUCAUGGCGUCAGUUGCAUAGCAUACGCGCGCUGUUAAAAACGACAUUGCAGAUCGUGUACUGUGUAUUUAACACUAACACCCACAACUCAACACACUCGUCAGCAACAAUGUGGCAUGAUCAAUAAUCAAAUAUAUUUAAUCGGGGACGUUCCGGGCAAUGGCCCUUCUUCAUGGCACACAGAACCAACUGAAAA